GAGGAAUCUUGGUCAAUGGGCGCAAUGCCUGAACCAGCCAAGUAGCGUGAAGGAAGACUGCCCUUAGGGUUGUAAACUUCUUUUAUAAGGGAAUAACGAUAGCAACGAGUUGCUAUUUGCAUGUACCUUACGAAUAAGGAUCGGCUAACUCCGUGCCAGCAGCCGCGGUAAUACGGAGGAUCCAAGCGUUAUCCGGAUUUAUUGGGUUUAAAGGGUGCGUAGGCGGGAAAGGAAGUCAGUUGUGAAAUUUUAUGGCUCAACCAUAAACUUGCAGUUGAAACUCUUUUUCUUGAGUACACAUGAGGUGGGCGGAAUUUGUGGUGUAGCGGUGAAAUGCAUAGAUAUCACAAGGAACUCCAAUUGCGAAGGCAGCUCACUGGGGUGUAACUGACGCUAAUGCACGAAGGUGUGGGUAUCAAACA
rnacentral:rRNA from 1 species